UUACAUGAAAGAAAGGGUGAUAAGUAUCUAAUGGAAGAUAAAUGUCUCUUCUUUUGGGAGAGAUCGACUUAAGAAUAAGAAGAAUCAUCAUGCCAACUUGAGCCUUAUAUACACCAUUCCCCAGAGUGGUGAUAUUCUAUUAUAUUGUUGAGGCUUGUUGUGAGUUGGACUUUGCAAUUUUAGUUAUGGUCUAUCAUUGAGAAAUCAUCUUACCGUAGGUAGUAGUAUAGGAUGUGACUUGCAAGAUGUAAUGAGUCUUCUUAAUUUCCUGAUGCCAAGCUUUCUUCUUAUAUCAUGGGAAGGUGGUUAUAAUAAGUUUAAUGCGGAAAUAUGUGAAGAAAACAGGAGGCUUGCGGAAAUCAUCUGAAUUGUGACCAAC
rnacentral:lncRNA from 1 species